GCCGGGGUGGUGAAAUGGCAGACACGCAGCGUUUAGGGCGCUGUGCCAGAAAUGGCGUGAAGGUUCAAAUCCUUUCCCCGGCA
rfam:Microgenomates (Daviesbacteria) bacterium GW2011_GWA2_38_17 TS80_C0014, whole genome shotgun sequence.